AUCCCAUCAGCAACCAGACUCAACAUCUGGACAUCACUCACCUCUGUCACACAUGUUCAGACUCUGUCCACUGUUGUGGUCCUACUGAAGCUGUGAUCCGAUUGGUCCUCUCUGCUCUGGUGGGCGUGGCUACUAUCAUUAUUCUGGUUUAUGACAUCAGACCCAGAAGAGCUGAACGAGAUCAAGCUCAUAUUCACACAUCAGGAAGUAUUGAAAUCUAAAGCACAGCUGAUUUUUUGUUCUUCUAGUGUUUUUGUCAUAAUAAAUACUGAUGAUUAAUUUGAGCUAGAUUAUUUUGAGAUUUUAAAAAUCUUAUUUGUAAAGCUUUGUUUAUAUUUCUCUUAGAUACAAAAUUAAUAAAGAGACACACAGAUCUCACUUUACUAAUACUGCUGUUCAUCUGUCAUAUGUAUUUGCUUGUCUUUAUCAAUAAAGUUUUCUCAC